rnacentral:rRNA from 1 species
GAUGAACGCUGGCGGCGUGCCUAAUACAUGCAAGUCGAGCGAACAGACGAGGAGCUUGCUCCUCUUACGUUAGCGGCGGACGGGUGAGUAACACGUGGAUAACCUACCUAUAAGACUGGGAUAACUUCGGGAAACCGGAGCUAAUACCGGAUAAUAUAUUGAACCGCAUGGUUCAAUAGUGAAAGACGGUUUUGCUGUCACUUAUAGAUGGAUCCGCGCCGCAUUAGCUAGUUGGUAAGGUAACGGCUUACCAAGGCAACGAUGCGUAGCCGACCUGAGAGGGUGAUCGGCCACGCUGGAACUGAGACACGGUCCAGACUCCUACGGGAGGCAGCAGUAGGGAAUCUUCCGCAAUGGGCGAAAGCCUGACGGAGCAAAGCCGCGUGAGUGAUGAAGGGCUUCGGAUCGUAAAACUCUGUUAUUAGGGAAGAACAAAUGUGUAAGUAACUAUGCACGUCUUGACGGUACCUAAUCAGAAAGCCACGGCUAACUACGUG